CUCUCCAGUCUCAGGAUUUUUCUCAGUUGCUUCCUCAGUUUGUAGCAAAGGGAAUAAAUGACCUUGCUUGUUUCACAUGCAGUUAGAAACAUAACGAGUAGAGAAAAACCCAGAGACUGAAAAUCCAUACUAAGCCACCAACCAAACCGCUUUCAUUCUACUUGUCAUUUCAUCACAUUCUCAGCAUAUAAUUCAGUUCUCAACUUCAUAUCAUCAUACCGCGUCAAAGAUGCUGUUUUUCUUCCAUCUUAUUGAUGAAAAAUGACUUUUCUGAGGGUACCUCGUAUGUCCUUGACUAGUCGGCUCUCCUUCAUCUUCUCACCAACGACGGGAAUCUCAUGCGUCCGUGGCGUCUUGGAGCCCAUGACCUAGUGUGACGUCGUAGCAGGCUGUGUUCACGUCGGAUCUUACAGGGUGAUAUAGCUUUUCGCCAUUUCGCCAUCAGUGGUGCUCGUUUGAUAGUUGGGUUUUUUGUGCUUUUAAUGACUAUUUGUGAUCCGAUUUGGAGACCAAUGGAUACAUGAGGAGUAACUUGAGAGUUCAGAAAGGAAAACAAUAUCGGCGAAAACAACAUGCUACUCUCGCUAGCGAUGCAGCCUGCUCUUGGAUUUCAAAAGAGAAGACCACGCCUUGAUUCGAUCUCUGAUUGGAAUGGACCCAGUAGACUCGAAUAAGAGAUAACCUUACGAUGGAUCAGUCCUUCUUUUUGGUCGUCACUUCACUGAUCUUUUUUCUUUCAACAGUUGAAGGUUUGGUCUGUAAGGUGUGCUCCUAUUACUACCGCAAGGGGGACGACCGUUCCUGCCAUACCAGUGUGCACAUGCUUCCGUCCGUUGUCUGUCCGUCUCCAGAUCAUCGAUAUUGCACCAAAGAGAUUGUGCGAUUAGCAGACUUGUACAGGAGGAUAAGCAGAAACUGCAGCCGAACCGACCCCGGGAAUUACUGUAUAGACGACAAAUUGGAUGGCAAUCAUGUAAUACGAUGUAUGUUGUCAUGUGAUCAUGAUGAGUGCAAUUCGGCAGUGAAUAACACGAAGACAAUCAAUUGGUUGAUUAUCCUAUUGACAAUAUUUGCAAUAGUAAGGAUUUGUAUCGCACAGAGAUGAUAAAAGGGUUGGCUGUUGUGUUUAUCUUCCUGUUCUAAAUCAAAGGAUAUUACAGCGAAUAAGGUAACCGGUGAAAAAGAUGAGUAUUCUCAUCGAAAGAUGGAAACCCGAUAAACUAUGAUGAUCGAAUGAGAAUAUGAGGGACUUCGACACCACUGAAGAGAUGAUGCAAUGGGUAUUCAGAUACCCUCGUCAAAUGAUUUGAAGCAAGUGACAUCUCGUGUUAGAUACUGGAACUAGCAUUACGUUAAAAAGGUUGUUAUUGGAACAAGAUAGUGGUUGUUUGGAUUCAGGUUCAUGACGGGCUGCGCGAGCUGAGUUUACACUUAACUAACGGUGUGCUUUUCUUUGCCAUCCUCACUAUCAAGAUGAGAGCAGCUGCUCAGCAAGCUAAAACAUUCAAUGAGGGCUUAGGCCUCUCUGUUACGUAACGCGGUGUAAUUUCGAGGUCACCAUUUAAAAACCACCCGUUGGCAUUGAUGUUCCAGCAUUCAAGACUUGCUAAUAUUCAAUACGUCUUUCUGACGUAGGUCCUACGAAGGGAAUACGUUGAGGCCUUUAAUGAAGAUGUAUUGCAUAUAUUUUGUACCUAUACACAUACAUAUAUCCUCCCUGUUUGUAAAGUUUUUCAUAAGAUCUAUCCUGGUGUGGAAAGCGUUGAAGGAGUAGGCAGUUAAUGGAAACAAUAAAGAACAGCUUUGCCCGAUGUUUAUGUCGAGAAAGGACAUCAUGAUAUUAAGACGACACUUGCAAUGACUUAUCGUCUGCACUCGGCCGGGCGGGGCGAGAAGCUUGCUGUUACCAAGUGUCGCUGAAAUAACGCGUUUUUCUAGUAUCUAAGAGUUGAAACCAACGCCUACUCCUUUGAUAUAUAAGAUAGCUAAUAAUACUAGUGGUUCUGGUCUCAUAGUGUCUGGUUGAUAUAGACUGAUGAAGAACAUGCCUUGAAGAACGUUCUCUACCCGGAAUGGCCGAGACUGCCUUGAUGAAUGUUAUCCAGGGUGACAUGUAACGUCAACUAGGUUCACAACUGCAAAUGCUUAGAAAUGAUUAGAAGAACUAAUAAAAUAUUUAUAAGAAAA